AGCCCCAUCCCUUGUUCGGGAGACAGCGGAGCUGAUUUAUGACCCUCCUUCCCACGGGGCAGGGCCUGCUCGGAAAAAGCCCUCCCGCUCUUCCCGCUCGGGCAUCGGGCAGUUGGGAGACAGCAACCGAGGGACCCGGGCAAGCGCUGCCGGUGCUGACGGAGGAGAGCUGGGCUGGGCAGGAGGGUGUCCCGGCAGCCUGCUGGGAAUUGUUUUGCUCUCCCAACAGGCGGUGCCAGCUCUGCCGCAGACACCGGAGCGGAGAACAGCAGGGCCUUAUAAGGAAGCGGAACGCGGCUCGGCCAUUCAGAGGGACAGCGGGGCCCGCCGGGGCCCUGCCUCAGCGCCGGGCACCGCGGAGCCACGGAGUCCGGGAGACGGAACCCGAGCCGGGCCGCGCCGGGGCUGGCGGGAAGGCGGCCCCGUAAACAGGCUCCUGCAAAAGGGGCACUGGGGAGAGCACACGUGUGCCUUGAGAGCGAAAAGAAAGGGAAGAAAGACAAGGAAAGAAAAAAAGCAACUAGAAAGGCCUGCCACUUUUCGCACGGAGCCUUAUUUGGUAUUUUCAUGAAAAGUUAUAUCUUCACGCUGUAAAAAAUGCCACUUAUUACUCAUGCUUUACUAGGUAAGUGUAUUUUGCUUGGCAACAAGUGCUCUGGGGUUUUUUUCUCACUUCACUACUCCCGUACAAACUAUUUCGAAGGUUUCAUUAGUUUCUCCAUCAGAGCUGGCGCUGCUGCCGCUGUCUGAGGGCCGGGCUGUUAAACCGAGACACAGCCGCUGUUUGUUCGGGACGUUUUCGGCCCGACCCGCGGGGCUGUAAAACCCCAGCGCGGGUGUCCUGCGGCGGGGCCCACAGGGGCCCUUUCAGCCCCGUUCCUGCCCGCCGCUGCGGCUGCCGCGGGGACACGGCUGUCACCGGUGUCACCCUGGCCCUGGCACUGCCUGUGCGUGGGCACCGCUUGUCCCACGGUCACUCCGUGGUGUGUGGGCGUCACUGUGGACAUCUCCCUGUCCCGUGUCACAGAGCAGGGGUGCCACCCCAUCCCCUGGUUGUUACAGGUGCGUGGAUAUCACCCCAUCCCCAUGAAGUGUAUCAAUGUCACCCUUUCUUCAUGACCACUCUGGAAAGGUGGAUGUCACCCUCUCGCUGUUGUCACUGCAGACACACGGGGAUGUCACUCUGUCCCUAUACACGUGGAUAUCACCAAUCCCCGUGGCACUGCGUCUGCGUGGACCUCAGCCAUCCUGUGGUCCAUGCCACGAGUGAGUGUCACCAUCACUAUGCAGAGCCACCACCUCAUCCUUCCUCGGGGUCACAGCACACCCAGGGACAUCACCCUGUCCCCACAGUCACAACAUGCCCGUGGGUGUCACCGUGUCCCAAGGUCCCUGCAGACACACGGAAUCCCCCCUUCACCACCCCUCGUGCCCCGGCGUGGGGACGGUGAGCGAUGGCACAGCCCUGCCGCCCGCCCGUGCCCGUCCUGCCGGCCACCACCGCCCCAGGGCCGCCUGGCCGCGCUUCCCAGCCGCUCUAAAAGCCAGCUUUGUGUUUUACAGCCAGGCCCUCGCUUGGCACACGAUUUUAAUUAGAGUCUGGUUACACGGCUCGGCAGAUGUGGAAUGUAUUUCUUAGCCCAGGUGGAAUAAAUCUAUUGCCAUAAAAACCAA